GAUGAACGCUGGUGGCGUGCCUAAUACAUGCAAGUCGAGCGAACAGACGAGGAGCUUGCUCCUCUGACGUUAGCGGCGGACGGGUGAGUAACACGUGGAUAACCUACCUAUAAGACUGGGAUAACUUCGGGAAGCCGGAGCUAAUACCGGAUAAUAUAUUGAACCGCAUGGUUCAAUAGUGAAAGACGGUUUUGCUGUCACUUAUAGAUGGAUCCGCGCCGCAUUAGCUAGUUGGUAAGGUAACGGCUUACCAAGGCAACGAUGCGUAGCCGACCUGAGAGGGUGAUCGGCCACACUGGAACUGAGACACGGUCCAGACUCCUACGGGAGGCAGCAGUAGGGAAUCUUCCGCAAUGGGCGAAAGCCUGACGGAGCAACGCCGCGUGAGUGAUGAAGGUCUUCGGAUCGUAAAACUCUGUUAUUAGGGAAGAACAAAUGUGUAAGUAACUAUGCACGUCUUGACGGUACCUAAUCAGAAAGCCACGGCUAACUACGUG
rnacentral:rRNA from 1 species